AGUAGCUUAGCUGCUAAUAUGAGCUCAACUUCAUUAGAUAACUUUUAUAAAAUAAAAAUUACGGAAAAGUCCCCUAACUAUUGUACUCAUAACAAAGAAAAAAGUGAUGAAAAUUUAAAAGGAUCAACUGGAGAAUUUCAAACUCAAAGAGAUCACGUAGCUCUGCAUGGUUUAUCAGCACCAUCAUCCGAAGUGCAUAAUAAAGAAGGUAAAAGUCUUGCUGUUAUGGCCGGAAACGUAGUGGGAAAUUUCACACCGACUAUUCACUCUAAAAAUGAUGAAAAGAAAGUACUUAGCAAUUUCAUACGCGACAGUAUACCUCUUACCAAAGAAUUUGAGCGGCCUAUAGACA